rnacentral:rRNA from 1 species
GAUUAGUGGCGAACGGGUGAGUAACACGUGGGCAAUCUGCCCUUCACUCUGGGACAAGCCCUGGAAACGGGGUCUAAUACCGGAUACUGACCCUCGCAGGCAUCUGCGAGGUUCGAAAGCUCCGGCGGUGAAGGAUGAGCCCGCGGCCUAUCAGCUUGUUGGUGAGGUAAUGGCUCACCAAGGCGACGACGGGUAGCCGGCCUGAGAGGGCGACCGGCCACACUGGGACUGAGACACGGCCCAGACUCCUACGGGAGGCAGCAGUGGGGAAUAUUGCACAAUGGGCGAAAGCCUGAUGCAGCGACGCCGCGUGAGGGAUGACGGCCUUCGGGUUGUAAACCUCUUUCAGCAGGGAAGAAGCGAAAGUGACGGUACCUGCAGAAGAAGCGCCGGCUAACUACGUGCCAGCAGCCGCGGUAAUACGUAGGGCGCAAGCGUUGUCCGGAAUUAUUGGGCGUAAAGAGCUCGUAGGCGGCUUGU